UCGAGUUACUCCGGAACACAGUGUUUAUUCUGUGUUUAGUCACGCCGCGUCAAAAAUGUUCCACAGGGUUACUUCCGGUUUAUCGUUGUUUACCUUUGUUUACCAACAGUCGACACUUCGUGUAUUAGGCCUAGGCUUAAUUUUGUCGAUCAUCAUGAAAUUGAAAUACACAUUUAAUAGUUUGGGGUGUAUGCGGUACAUAUUUGUUUAUGAGCGUUUGAUAAGCUACUAUUGAUCUACGAAAUACAACGAAAGACUUCGUCAAGAACAGAAGACGAUGUCGUGUAACUCACACAAGGCCCGACCCAGCUGUCUAGUAACCGGAGGGGUAAAGGAAAAGAACGUAUUAGACUCACUGAAACCUGUCAAACUGGUUAAUGGGAACAGGAUAAUUUUCCAUGCCUUUCACUUGAGGUCUUCAGUUUCAUCAUUAAUCAUCUGAAUGUCGGUAUGCCAAACUCUCAUGAUGUCAUGCCAUUACUGGAUAUUCCUUAACACUGGUUUAUUUAAACCACACUACCUAUAACAUUGCCAAAUAUUAGACUGAAAAUUUUCAAAUACACAAGAUUUGAAGCAGCAAAAGAAAAGAAUUACAUAUGUAUAACACACAAAAAAGAAGAAAUUAAUUCUCACCUGGCUGAUAUGAACUUUUUACUCCUUUUUAGCUCCCUUUCACUGCAUACCAGCCAAUAACUAGCAGUCAUUAUAUGCAGAUCAGCCAUUGUUAUCAACCUGUGUAUAUAUAUGUUGAAUAAAAUAUGAAUGAAAA